UACGUAGGUGGCAAGCGUUGUCCGGAUUUACUGGGUGUAAAGGGCGUGCAGCCGGGUCUGCAAGUCAGAUGUGAAAUCCAUGGGCUCAACCCAUGAACUGCAUUUGAAACUGUAGAUCUUGAGUGUCGGAGGGGCAAUCGGAAUUCCUAGUGUAGCGGUGAAAUGCGUAGAUAUUAGGAGGAACACCAGUGGCGAAGGCGACUUUCUGGACAGUAACUGACGUUGAGGCUCGAAAGCGUGGGGAGCAAACAGG
rnacentral:rRNA from 1 species